rnacentral:lncRNA from 1 species
CCCCGCCGCAAGUGGAUAAUAUUAAUAGUGUAAAAAUAUGCAAGUGUUCGGUAAACAGGAAGUUGUCGAGUGAUGAAUUUGAAAACGCAUCACACGGUAUAGCUGACUUAUAAAAAUCCUGAAACCAAAUUUCAGAAAUCCUUGUAUUGUAGUUCCUGAGAAAAAUGUGACGAAAAUUUUUAACUUGGUUAUCAUGUGUAAAAUCAUACAAGUGUUCGGUAAACAGGAAGUAGUCGAGUGAUGAAUCUGAAAACGCAUCACACGGUAUAGCUGACUUAUAUAAAUCCUGAAACCAAAUUUCAGAAAUCCUUGUAUUGUAGUUCCUGAGAAAAAUGUGACGAAAAUUUUCAACUUGGCUAUCAUGUGUAAAAUCAUACAAGUGUUUGGUAAACAGGAAGUUGUCGAGUGAUGAAUCUGAAAACGCAUCACACGGUAUAGCUGACUUAUAUAAAUCCUGAAACCAAAUUUCAAGAAAUCCUUGUAUUGUAGUUCCUGAGAAAAAUGUGACGAAAAUUUUCAACUUGGCUAUCAUGUGUAAAAUCAGACAAGUGUUCGGUAAACAGGAAGUUGUCAAGUGAUGAAUCUGAAAACGCA